rnacentral:piRNA from 1 species
UAGGAAAUGAUCACAUGUCCCGCUGGUAA